GGAAGAUAGGCAGGAUUAGGAGACGAGGAGAAUUCUGGGAAAGGUAGAUGGAGAGAUACCGGGAAGAGAUGCCAUGUAGCCACCAAAGGAGUAACAGGUCCGGACAUUCUCUGAUUCAUCAGCAAAUACCCAAAAAGGACUGUCCUUACACCUGACUUGACAGUCACAGAGGUCUGUGCUGGACUAACUGAGUUUUCUCAGGAGGGAUAAGGCACAAACUGAACAGAAGUGGAGCAAGGUGGCUUCCAGACUGCAGUAACCUGGGCAGAGGCUGCUGAAGUUAGCUCAGAUUUGGCUGUUGGCAGAGCCCUGUCAAUAGGGACCCAGACAAGUUUGAGCUUUAUUUUGGUAGUAAUUUUUGGUGCUUCCCC
rnacentral:lncRNA from 1 species